rnacentral:rRNA from 1 species
AUUGAACGCUGGCGGCAUGCCUUACACAUGCAAGUCGAACGGUAACAGGUCUUCGGAUGCUGACGAGUGGCGAACGGGUGAGUAAUACAUCGGAACGUGCCUAGUAGUGGGGGAUAACUACUCGAAAGAGUGGCUAAUACCGCAUGAGGUCUACGGAUGAAAGCAGGGGAUCGCAAGACCUUGUGCUACUAGAGCGGCCGAUGGCAGAUUAGGUAGUUGGUGGGAUAAAAGCUUACCAAGCCGACGAUCUGUAGCUGGUCUGAGAGGACGAUCAGCCACACUGGGACUGAGACACGGCCCAGACUCCUACGGGAGGCAGCAGUGGGGAAUUUUGGACAAUGGGCGAAAGCCUGAUCCAGCAAUGCCGCGUGCGGGAUGAAGGCCUUCGGGUUGUAAACUGCUUUUGUACGGAACGAAAAGCCCCGAGUUAAUACCCUGGGGUCAUGACGGUACCGUAAGAAUAAGCACCGGCUAACUACGUGCCAGCCGCCGCGGUAA